UCCCUGGUGGCUCAGAGGUUAAAGCGUCUGCCUGCAAUGCAGGAGACCUGCGUUCGAACCCUGGGUCGGGAA
rnacentral:tRNA from 1 species